ensembl:lncRNA
CCGAGCGACAAGCCAGCAAACCAGCUACAGCGGCCCCUCCGCUGCCCGCCCCGAGUGUAGGCGAGCGUGCGGGAGGGGCGGCCCUAACGUGUGGAUCUGAGCCCCCCCCCAGCCUGCCUUGCGCACCCACAGGUCGGGCGGGCAUCAGCACCCUGCCUAGCUCUCUUUGAUGGCCGGAAUCCCCAGAAGUCGCCUGCGACCUCCUCCCCCUCUGCAGCCCUAAAAAGGACGCGGGGUCCCGGCCCGACGCAGGCGGAACCUUCUGCCCGCCUCUUACUGACCGAGGAAAAUGGCCUUGCGCGUUUGGAUAACUAGGGAGAGAUAGGUCGUUUCCCCUACCCAACCGCUCCUUGGGCUUUGUGCCCCAGCGAGCGUGAAUUCGCCUGCUGAGGGAAGAGAGCAAAUGAUGGCGAUGGACAAGAUGGACAAAACCAGCGGCCCCUGCACAUCCCAGCAGUUGUGAGGGAAAGUAGGGAACCCAGGGAUCGAGAAGUGCCCACGAUCUUCCCCAAAGCCAGAAGCAUGCCUAACGCCUGCUGCCCUACAAAAUGCCGGGCACUCUGACCAGGGACCCUGCGGCCAGGCCUGAGCGCUUUGUCCCUAGCCCGCCUGAGGAUGCUACCAGAUGAGGGUUGGACACAGAGGUUCGUUCGUCUGCUGGGGCCGCCGCUGAGCUUUUGGGCUCUUGGGCUCAGAGCCUGAGACUGUAGGCAAGGCACGUGUACUGGCGCGAAGUUCCCACAGUUAGCUGCAAGAGGAGCGAAUUUCUAGGCUGCACCUUGAAGAGAAACAAGAGCUCACAAUCCCUGAGUCUGCCUCCUGCUGCUGGCCUGUUGGACCUUCUACAGUUGCCAUGGAAACUGUGUACCUCAGUUUUGGCUCUGCACCAGCUGGAUAGCAAACUGAAGAGCAUCAUUGUCUCUCAGGCUAAGCAGAGCUGUCGAGCAAUCCCAGAGGUACCUAUUCUGAUGAUUCCCGUUGUACAGACUGAUGAAUGGGCAGAUGAGAAAGGCAAACUCGAAUCACACACGGGGAGCGCCUGAGGCUUUACCUCCAACGCCCAACCUUCACUAAGCGGUCACUCUGGGAUCUGAAAAGAAGCACAGGCAUGAGGCAGCCAGAAACCAUCCUGCUCACAGUUGUCAGACUGGCUUGACAGACAGGGGCCAGCCCACUUCCUUCACCCUCAGAAAAAGCUGGUUCUCUGGCCACAGAAGCAAGAGGAGGGCUGUUCAAGUGGGAAUAGAACGCAGAGUUUGGAGACAAGCAGACCCAAGUUCAAAGUUCAAGUCACAGCUUUCCUCCUGCCAAAUGUAUAGCUUUGGGUUUCUAUUGCUGUGCUAUGAGAAGGUAUGAAAGUCACCCGCCUUCCCUAGAGGCCGCAUCCUUGUGCUCCACCAAUGAUCCUGUAUGAGCCAAAGGCUUAGAAGUCCUUGACUUCCAUCCUGAGGGGUUAGCCUUUCUCUGCUGUGAUCUUGGGGCCCUAAGGAACUUGUCAUUUAUCUUUGGCCAUGUUUCCUGUUUCUGUGUCACUAGCAUAGACCUCUGCUCUUUUAGAAACAAGAAAGGAGAGAAAAAAACAACAAAACCCCCUUCGUGUGUGUGUGUGUGUGUGUGUGUGUGUGUGUGUGUGUGUGUGUGAUAUUUCUGUAUUUUUAAAAAAAUUAUUUAUUUUAUGUACAUUGGUCUUUUGCUUGCAUGAAUGAAUAUCUUUAUGAGGGUAUUGGAUCCCCUGGAACAGGAGCUAUGGACAUUUGUAAGCUGUCAUGUGGUUGCUGGG